GGUUUCCGUAGGUGAACCUGCGGAAGGAUCAUUACCGAUGUAAUCCAAAAGCACGACUCCGUCGUGACUACCGUGUGAACUGUACCAAACUAUUCAGGGGUCGGCCAGUCCGUUAAAUGGCGGUCGGAGGCGUGCAACUGCGCGCGGCCGCUCCGCCAGCCCCGCCUGUGUUUUUUUAACAUACGUGUCUUUGUCUGAAACCUGACUGACCACUGCCGUGGUCGAGAGCAAAAGAAAGAGAGACAACUUUUGACGGUGGAUCUCUUGGCUCACGCAUCGAUGAAGAACGCAGCCAGCUGCGAUAAGUAGUGUGAAUUGCAGAAUUCAGUGAAUCAUCGAAUCUUUGAACGCAAAUGGCGCUCUUGGGUUCUCCCAGGAGCAUGUCUGUCUGAGUGUCGGAUAUCAUCCAACGCACCUAGUCGUGCGGCGUUGAGGCGUCACGGCCCUCCUCGCGGCCGUGUCCCUUGAAAGUCAGAGAGACUCGCCGCGGCACGGGUUCGUUCCCUGCACACUCGCGGAGGCUAAAAACGCUUUUGCCCUUCGCGUGCACGGGAGCGGCCCGGCCGCCGAGUCGCGGAAGCGAACACCUUUCAACUCUUGACCUCAGAAUCAGG
rnacentral:rRNA from 1 species